AGACAGGGUCUUUCUAUAUUGCCCAGGCUGAACUCAAACUCAUGGGCUCAGGUGAUCCUCCCACCUCAGCCUCCCAAGUCGCCGGGAGGUCUGCCCUUCUUGACCAGCCAUGACCGUGCCCUCUUCCCUCCCUGCGUUACUCCUCCAUCCACUCCAGGGUGGAGGGCUUCUAUUUCACUCUCUCUAAGCACUGCUUUCCAACCACAGCCCUCAGCUAUGCCUCAGCCUGGGCCUAUCCGGUCUACAUCCACCUACCCACCACCCCUACACAGGUGACAAAAGCAGUGCUUAAGAAACACGUGUGUUCUUUCGCCUCCCCCACACAACUGACGGCUCUGCCUAAUGCCACUGCUACACACUUUGCUUUCACUAAUUAUUAUUUCCUGCCCUCCAGAACUGCUUUUUUGCGUACAACAGUUUCUAUCCUUACUGGUUUUUUUUAACACCGCUUCUCAGUAUUAUUGAUACUCCUGCAGCUAGACAGUACCUGGGAAGGUAUGCACCAACUAGAAGGUGAUUUAAUGAGCCUCCCAUGUUAUGGCUGGCAGCAGCCUUCAGAGAGGUUUGAGUUUGGGUGCCAUCUAAUUCCCCUCCAGCUCAUUCAUUCUACCCAACUAAUGGGAAAACUAGAGGACUGUUGGUAAUAAUAGCAUCAGCAACAAUAGUUACCAUUUAUCAUAUAUUUACUAUGGGCCAAGUACUAUGAUAAAUGCUCUGCAUAUAUUUUCUCACUUAAUUCUCAAAAAAAUGCAGUGAGGAGAAUGCUGUUUUAUCACUAGUUCACAGCUGAGAAAACUGCCAAAAAAGCCACAUAAUGAAUAAGUGAUAGAGCCAUAUUUUGAACCCAAGUUAAUUUAAAGCCUGGGCAUUCGGCCACUCCGCUGCCAUGAUCAUACAUCAUCUGACUUCCUUCACGUCCCAUCUCCCAACUUCUGUUUUUUUCUCUUUUCCUGAUUCUCCAGUUACCCACCCUAGCAGGGUGAUAUAUAUGAACUGUGUGCCAAAGUGGGUGUAGACUCGUAAUGACACCGUAAUGACACCAACUGGACCAUGGGAAAUGGUGAAGGCAAGAGCAGUUAUUUUCACUUGGCCCUUUGAAACAGAAACCCUGCCUCAAGUUAUGAGGGAUUUGUUUUAUGUAUUUUCCUGUUUCGUUAAUCCAUGAAUCCCAAACUCCUAGAACUGCGCCUACCUCAUAUUAGGAGCCCAACAAACACCAGCAUGGAAACCCAGCACGCUGGGGUAGACCCGAUGAAGAGCACAGGAGCCUUAGCAAAUCUAGGUGGUCUGAAACUGUCUUUUAGCUGCGCCAGAUGAGAGGAUGUUAACAACAAUGGUGUAUCAUUUCUCAUUUCUUGCGACUCUUUGCAGGUUUGCUUCUUGUUGUCUUAUUUCAACUAACAAAUUCUGUUUACUUUUCAUGUAUUUUCUCUACCUCAGAAUUGCUGCUUAUUCAUAAAUUCUACCUUCUUAUCACAUUGAUCUGCUUCCUCAUAGUUUUGGUUUGCUGUAACCCUCCAUGCCCCCACUCCAUUGUAUGCCACCCUUUCUUCCAUGGCUAACUGCUUCUUUCUAUCUGUGUUUCCCAAUUCAAAUCCCAGAAGGAGAGAAUCUGAUGGAUCAAACUAAUCUUUUCCAUUCAGGCCCUAGUUUUUGGAGAGGCAGCCCAUAAUGUCAAGGGCCAAUCACUGGUCCAAUCAGGUGCCAUCCCUAGGUAAAGAACAACCUACCUCUGCUUCUCAAAGCAGGGGGCUGUGGGUGGGGCACUUUCAUCUCAAAGAGGAAGUUGGGUGUGGCAGGCACUGUGUUGACAUAUCCAGUAUAGGAGUGCCCUGGGAGCCCAUCUCUCAUUUCUGAAAGAGAUAACACGGUAGGUCUGGACUUUUCAUCACAUAUUCCCAGGAAAGCCCAGCCAAAUGCAGCUGGCACUGUGCCAGAUAUUGGGCUAGGUGCUGGGAAUUGAAAUAAUAAACUAUUUCCUGAUUUCUCGUCUCUCUUCUGGAGAAAGAACUGGAUUGGAACGAGGAUCUGGUCACCACGACAAUCAGAAUGCGCAGGGGUAAGACUAAGGAUGAAAGAGAGAAGAAUGGAUGGAAGGUGGGCUCUCUUCUUCCGGGAGGCAGAUAAUCUCCCAGCAUUUCUUCAGUUGCAGAACAGGAAUGGAAGGCAAAUGGCUGUCUGCUGCUGGUGCAUGCACCAAGACAAACUACUGAAGUGUUUCCUGCCCAGUCCCCCCAGGUGUUUUUCCUCAGCUUUGAAUAAAUCCUCCAGCAAGCAUUUUGCUGAAAGCAAGAAAGGCAGCUGCAUAACUGCCCAGUCCACAGAGCUGACAAACCACUGUGUCAUCAAAGAAAGAGGGAAUCAUGGAAAAUAGCCUGUAGUUCACCCUCUCAGGCAGGGAGUCAGGAGGCUGUGAGGUGGCACAUUUGAUUCUUGCUCAUUAACAAAGUUUCUCUUUGUGUCCUCCUCCUCUUUGCCUGCUUGCCUGUUCCACUGGGUAAGGAGCAGCUGCCUACUCAAAUCAUUAUUUAUCAAAUGUGUACUAUGUUCUCAACAUUCAUUCAAUACAUCUAUAUUGAAAGCCUUUUAUGAGAAUAACGAAAAUAAUACGGUAGAUUCAGAGUAAGAUUCAGAGACUCAAGCAAGUCCCCGUAUAGUAAUCAUGUGUUCAACUAGUUGUUAAGUGGUAUAUAUAAUAUCUAGAAACCAGCCAAUGGAAGGCCUCAGGAAAAGGAACCAGAAAGGUGAGGAAGGUUUGCAGAGGAGAUGAGAUUGGAGCUAGGCCUUCAGCCAGGAUUCCAUGGGUAUUGGUCCAUUUUGCAUUGCUAUAAAAGAAUAUCUGAGACUGGGUAAUUUAAAAGGAAAAAAAGUUUAUUUUGGCCAGGUGUGGUGGCUCACGGCUAUUAUCCCA